rnacentral:rRNA from 1 species
UACGUAGGGUGCGAGCGUUAAUCGGAAUUACUGGGCGUAAAGCGUGCGCAGGCGGUUAUUUAAGUCAGGUGUGAAAGCCCUGGGCUUAACCUAGGAAUUGCGCUUGAGACUGGAUAGCUUGGAGUGCGGCAGAGGGAGGUGGAAUUCCACGUGUAGCAGUGAAAUGCGUAGAGAUGUGGAGGAACACCCGAUGGCGAAAGGCAGCCUCCUGGGCCAGCACUGACGCUCAUGCACGAAAGCGUGGGGAGCAAACAGG